rnacentral:snRNA from 1 species
GCACUUCAGCAGCACAUACAUGCUAACACUGGAACAGUUAGCAUGGCCCUUGCGUAAGGAUGACCCACAAAUUUGUGAAGCAUUCUAUAUUUUU